GACGAACGCUGGCGGCGUGCUUAACACAUGCAAGUCGUACGGUAAGGCCCUUUCGGGGGUACACGAGUGGCGAACGGGUGAGUAACACGUGAGUAACCUGCCCACAACUUUGGGAUAACGCUAGGAAACUGGUGCUAAUACUGGAUAUGUGCUCCUGCUGCAUGGUGGGGGUUGGAAAGCUCCGGCGGUCGUGGAUGGACUCGCGGCCUAUCAGCUUGUUGGUGGGGUAGUGGCCUACCAAGGCGGCGACGGGUAGCCGGCCUGAGAGGGUGACCGGCCACAUUGGGACUGAGAUACGGCCCAGACUCCUACGGGAGGCAGCAGUGGGGAAUAUUGCACAAUGGGCGCAAGCCUGAUGCAGCAACGCCGCGUGCGGGAUGACGGCCUUCGGGUUGUAAACCGCUUUCAGCAGGGACGAAGCUUUUUGUGACGGUACCUGCAGAAGAAGCACCGGCUAACUACGUG
rnacentral:rRNA from 1 species